rnacentral:miRNA from 1 species
GAAGACUUUCUUAGCAUAAGCAUAUCCCAAGUCACGAUUGGGAUAUGCUUAUGCUAAAGAAGUCUUUCCUUAUUUGGGAUAUGCUUAUGAUUUAAAAAAAA